UGCUGUUAGACGUGCUGAACUCUGCUAUGCAGGCAGCACUCCCCCAAACAUCAAAGUCUGGUUAAAGCUGUGAUGUUAAAACCUGCUGAUUUCAAUGGUGUGCCCAGUGCCUCAUUGUCAGGUUUAUUUUUGACAACCAAUGGAUUCUCCUCCCCAGCUCUGUACAUGACUUAAAAAAAAAAGUCAGGAACUGGGCCAGCAUUAAUAAAUGGCAGUUCUUCCACUUGCAGUACGAGGCAUUACCCCACCCUACCAAGCCAACUGCUUGCAGAAAAACAGCAAAAAAAACAGUUCUCUCUCCUUUUUCUGUUCCCAGACUGCCAUGUCUGAGUGCUCUGUGUUUGCUUUGAAGUGCCCCACGCAUUUGCAGGCUCUGCUCCUUGCUCCUUCCUGACACCCUCCACAGUGACAUCUGACAGGGUGAGCUCCUUCCAUCUCUCCUCUGCGUGGUGAGGCUGUAAAGUAAUGCAAAGAGGGAAGCAUAGUGGCACUGUGGGACACACUUGAUUAAUCCAUUGGUCAAGGCGGUAACGCAGAGGCUUUGUUGCACUGUGCACGGUUUGUUCCUUCUCCUUCCUCGUGUCACAACAAGGACGUUGUUGUGUUUUGCUGAAUCCUUCCUUGCUUGAGGCCAGUCAUUUAUCAAAAGAGAUUUCCAUCUUGGACUAAUAAUUCAUCUCUUAUUGCAGCCCUCACUGCUCUGAGGGCCCAUUUGUUUCCUCUUAUCACAGCCUAAUUAUUUGGCCAAGGAAAAUUUCUGUCCAUCCUGAGGACAGUGGAUGAGAGAUCAGGAGAACCUGGCCUCCAGGUAGGGACGAGCUUGUGGGUGUGGGAAGGGGCCUGGGGUCAGGCCUCGUGCUUUGGCAACUCUCCUUUUGUGCUUUUUUCUCAAACGAAUGCUCACACCCACACAUCUCCAACCCCCCACUCUCUCAUAAUUGUCAUAGAAUCAUUAAAGUUGGAAGGGACCUCUAAGAUCAUAAAGCCCAGGCAUCUAUGAACAGAUGCCCCGUCCUUUGAGGUGUUCAAGGCCAGGUUGGGGUCCUGGGCUGCCUGAUGUGGUGUUAGAUGUGGAGGUUGGUGGCCCUGCAUGUAGCAAGAGAGUGUUGGAGUUUGGAUGAUCCUUGAGGUCCCUUCCAACCCAAGCCAUUCUAUGAUUCUGUGAUCUACCCAUCUCCACCAUGCCCACACAGGGCAUCAUUAGGGCUGGACAAAGACUUUGUCUUUCCACCUCACCCUGACAAACUGGGAGUGAAAGGAGAGUAAGAAUUUGUGUCAUCCAGACCUGGCCAGUGAUUGGAUUAAAGAAGGGAGGAUGUGUGGAUGGAUGAACAGAUAGUAAUCACAGAAGCAUAAUUAAUAACAAUGACAGAAGGGCAUCUCGCUCCUAUUAAUAGUACAUGCACAGCUUUAAUCAGCUCUGUCCCCCAUCCAAUGGGAGAUUUGAACAGAAUCAAUUGCUAAUCUCUAUCAGAAAGCUGUUCUGAUCAGAUUGAUGGCACAUGCGUGGUUGAGCAGCAGAUUCAGCUGGGCCCAUCAUGAUUACUCAUACCAAUUCAGAAGUUUUAUUUGAGGAGAAGUUCCAAAACCUCAUUGGUUUGUUAAGCAUAUCAUAGGUAUCAAUUGCCCAUUGCUGUAUGGCCUGCAAGAGAUGCAGCAAAUGCAAUAAAAACCUUAUCCAUCGUUUCAUCUGGAAGCCCCAUUUACCUGAACUGAGCUGCUUCCAAUGAAUAUUUCACAACGUGUUUCACCACAAGUGCACUUGCAACUUAUGAAGCAAAAACACAAAUGUUUUAAUUCUGACAAAAUGAGCAUUUUUCAUGCACCAGCCUCUAUUCGGCACAUAGUUCUGUGGCUUAAUGGCUUUCUGAUUAUCACGUCCCAGGAUAUUACUUCAACUCAAGUGAUAUGAAAUGUCAUUAAAAAGUAAUGUUCCUCUGCUUUGACAAUCAUAUUAGUAAACAUUGGAGGCUCUGCAGGUUAUAUGUCAGGCGGGCCGACACUAAUGGCUUUAUUAACAUAUGCAGUAGCACUUUGUCAAACCUUCUUGUUAAUCUAAAUUUACAUGUGACAAUAAGAAAGGGAGGGGGAGCGAGGUGAUGGUAUUUAAAUAGUGCUUAAGUUUGGCCACAGGCAAAAGGAGCUGGGAAAUCCCCAGUAAGAUCAGAGCUCCCAUGCACCCAUCCCAGCCCCUGCUUAUGGUGAAGCAAUGGGGCCAUUGGGAUUCUCCCAGCAGAAUGACAUGAGGUGGGGCUUCAUGUAGCUCAAUUGCUAGGCAUGGUUGUAAGGAUGCUGUAAUGGAGCACUCCCAUCCCUAGAAUACCCUGACCUGAUAAGGCUGCCUUUGUAGGGACUGCUGACCACGGGGUUCCCACUGCUGUCUUAGAGUCACAGAAUGGCUUGGGUUGGAAGGGACCUCAAAGACCAUCCAGUUCCAACCCUGCUGUGGGUAGGAUUGCCAGCCACUACAGUAGGCACUACAUUAGGGCCCAUCCAGCCUGACCUUGAGCAUCCGCAGGGAUAGGGGCUCUUCUUUUGAUUCUGCCUUAGGGGAAGACAACAGUUGAGAUGCUCCCAAGAGCAGCUCCAUGUUCUCCAUGCGCUAAGCAAAGCCAGUGACUCGCCGUGGCUUUAUUUUGGGAGCUGGGAAGUGUAAGUACAGUGGGACCUAUUCUUGUCCGAAUGACUAAGCCUCCACCAGCCCAGAGCUCUUCAUCUUGGCAAACAGAUGGUGCGUGGAGUAAAAGAGAUGCUGUUCGCUGCUAUGAAAGGCCUUUUCUUUCUGGAGCAGCGCCUUAAAGGUACAAUGGUUUGUUUUGUGGUGCUGGGCGUUGGGUUGCCUUUCAAGGAGCAACACGAGCAGGGAUCACAGAGCAGGGGUCACAGAGCAGCAGCAGCCUGGGGUGAUGUUCCCAAUGGGGAUGGAAGGGCCGCAUCUUCUGUUGGUGCAAAUUGGCCAGUGUAAAAGUGUGUAAGUGGUGAUUUUCUCCUUCAAAAAUCUCAUCAGCUGAUAAAUGCAAAUCCCAAAGAAGCUGAUGCUUACGGGGUGGGCUGGAUGUUCGGAGCUGCUUUCUCUGGCAGUGUUGGACAUGAGCAGUGUGUACCCUGUGUUUUGCAUAAAGGAUAUUGGAGGUGUGAUGGCAAAAGGCACUGUUUCCAUCAGUGUUUUCUGUGGCAAGAUUGAGAAUGGAAACCUGAAACACUGCAGCUUCGCUGGUGCUGUCCCAGGUCAGGUGGCUGAGGUCAGAGAUAUCCCAUGGGAGCAUGGCUGUCCCCUGUUAGUGGAAGGAGUCCGUGUUUCAGCUGGAAUAGAGUGGAUUGUAACCUAGUAGCUGGAACGGUGCUCUGCUUUGGAUUUGGGAUGAUCCUUCUGGUCCUUCCAACUUGGAAUAUUCUGUGAUUCAUAAUGUGGGUAACACACCGGUGGUUUUGUUGGUGCAGAGCAGUGCUGCGUGGAGCCAAGGAUGUCUCAGCUUCUCCUGUUGCCCUGCCAGUGAGGGGCUGGAGUCACAAAGAGCUGAUUGGGGACAGCACCGGGACAGCAGACCAAAAGGAUAUCCUAAACCAUAUGGCAUCAUGCUGGGUCUGACCAAGGAAUGGUUGCUGUUAAUCCAGUAGUUUUGCUUGGUGUGUGCACCCAUGGCAGCAUGUCCAGGGCUUUCCAGGUCUUCAGCCAUUCUUAUGGGUCUUCUCUGGAUAUUCCUCCAGUGUCUCAGCCUGCAUCUCAAGCAGAUACUGGAGUGCUGCCCACGGGCUGGGAGGGGAAAGCUGCUGCUUGGCUUUUGCUCCCUGACCACCAGCCAGCUCCUAUCUCGGGAUGGAUCCAGCAGCAGCGCGGAAGCUCGCAUCCAAAAGCCCCAUUGCUCUGCCAGGGCCACACAGGUAGCAGCGAGUCUGAUGUGAAGUCAAGUGCAACAUCUGGGAGUCUUUUCUCCCCAUGUUUUUCUCUUUUAUUUUGGAGCAGCAGCUCUCAGAGGUACAUGCAGGCCUUGCCAAAGUGCUCCUCGCCUACAUGAACACCCCUACAUCUGCAAAAACGCUGCCCAAAUCUAUCUAGGAAACCUGGAGCAGAGCUCUGUUCUGGAGCAGCAUGCUUGCAUGGGGGGGGUUGUGGCACAGAGAGUGCCCAAUUUUGUUGUCUUUUGGGGUAUUCAGGAAGAAAAGUGCGGGAUCCCUUUUGUGAAUUCAGAGGGUGAGGGUUUGAUGCUAUGGGCUCACACAAAGGUUGGAGUCAGCUCAGGUUGUGUUCUGCUCCAGAUCUGAUGGGUUUAGGAGGGGCUACCAAUCAUCCCAAGUGCACUCCAUGAAGGAUGCUGGUAACCAGUUUGUCCCUUUUUCAUUUUCUGAGACAUUUGUUAUUGGCCCUGGGAAUGGUGUGCUGCCAUGGGACCCUACCAGUAACCACCAGAGCAGCACAAACAGAGAAUUCCGUGUUGACCCCAGCAAUCUGUUGUCCUGAGAGCUGUUCAGAUGAGAGAAUGUCCAAAGUAAAAAGAAAUGAUUUCUGAAAUUAAUUAUAAACAGAGAAGGAGGUAAGUGCCAAUGGUGCAGGUGGAGUCUCCAUCCCCUAGGAGAAAGACAAAAAAGGGACAAGAAAACCUACAGGAAAAGAUUAUUUGAACAGUGAUAUAAAUGCAAAUGCUGACAUCUCAGUGAGAGGUGCUCUGGGCUUUUCCCAUUGAGCUCUACUGCUAAAGGGAAAGUGAUGACUUUCCCACUCUAAAGAGGAGGCGCUCAGCCUGCAGAUGUUACUGCUCAGGAUGUUUUCGACUGAGUAUUCCUUUGUUGUUGUUGUUGUUAAGAAAAACAAACGACUAAUUCAACAUAAUGAAACUUGAAGCAGGAGAAGAGCAGCCCGGACAAAUUGCUCAACUGAGUGUUUUGGUUCGGUUUUAUUUUCUGAAAGGAUGUUCCAAGAUUGGCCAAGACUCUGUUUGGAAAUAGAAGCAUCCCAUUUUCCAGCCCAUAAUACUCCUCGUUUGGAAUUGUGAGCUGAGUAUCGUAUGAAUGGGGCUUCUUUGCUGAAGGUUUGAGAGAAUUGAAACCAAAUGUUUAAAGGCUAUCCAUCCAAAAUGCUUGGCUCAUCUGAACUCCAACGACUGUUGGUUUUUGUUUUUACUCUAUAAACAAUAUUGAGAUUCUCGCUAUUUAUCCCCAUAUGCCUUAAGAAUUGUUUGAAAUUCUUUGGACAUUCUUUCAGGAACUCAAAACAUGUUUCCCAUGUAUGUUUGUGCUGGGAGCUGGUGUCUAAAGGGCAGCUCAGCUCCUCUGAAAGCAGGAGCAUGUGGCAGAUUUCCCUUUAGCAGUUCAGAAUGAAGCAGGAUGAGCCCUCUAGGAACAUUUCCAAUGGCCUUAAGUUGUGCCAGGGGGGGUGCAGGCAGGAUGGUAGGACACGUAUUCUGUGAAGGUGUGAUGAUGAAUUGGCACAGCUGCCCAGAGAGGUGGAGGGGUCACUGUACCUGGAGGUAUUCAAGUAUCAUGGAGAUGUGGCACUGGGGGAUGUGGUCAAUGGGCACGGUGGGGUGGGCUGGGGUUGGGCUUGGGGAUCUGAGAGGUCUUUUCCAAUCUUAAUGAUUCUGUGAUUCUGUGUUUCUGUGAACAAGCAGCCCCGCCAGCAGACCACAUGUGUGGCCUUUAUUUAACCUUGAAUCUUCUGUGUGUAAAGUGGAGGAGGUGGGCUUCAGGCCAAUGCUGGUUUUGAGUUCCUAAGGUGGGGAGCCUGACCCCAUCGUGGUGGCAGCUGGUGUAUCUGAAAGUGGGGGUCACAGGUCUGGGACAGCAUUGAGAGGCAGAUACUGCCUGGCCUGGGUGCCAUCAGCCAUCAGUGCCCUGCAGCAUUCACUGUAGGCUCCAACAGCAUCAGAAGCCUGUGGCUGCUUUCACGAUCUCUGUGCACUUAACAAAAGGAGGUGAAAUCCAGCAUGGUGAAAGCACAAAGGCUGUGAACUCAGAGCCAGGGUCCCAGGACCCCUGAGAGCUGGGCAUUAGCUCAGUGGCUGUUCUGCUGGGUCGAUGCGAUGCAUUCAGCCCUAUAUGUGCUGUUCAAAUUGUCCUUCUCAGGAGAAUUGCUUUGCUUUGUUGCCGUCUCUUCUGUGCCCAACAGCAGGGGGUUUCUGCAGCAAGCCAUAUAGAAAAUGUAUUGAUUCUGUUCCAUAAGCCCUGUACAUGGGAGGUAAGUGCUCCCCAGCCAAUACCUUUCAGUCUUUUCCUUUAGAUGUUGCUCACAUGCCCUAAAUCACCGCUGUUGAUGAAAGAACAAAAGAACGGAGCUGGGGGAACUGUGGCCAAAUGGGUUUAAUUCUGCUCAAGGCGUCACCGCUGCCCAGUGCUGAUGGAGCAGAGCAUGGAGGCAGGUGAUGGGACGUCAGUGAUAAAGGGCCCUCCAUUGCCAGGGCUGUCCUGGUGGCAGGUUUUAAACAGCGAGGAAGUUUGGCAAAGUAGCUGAGAUCUGCUUCUAAGGUUCCUGCAUGAACAGCUUCAGGUAAUGCUCAGACCAACAGCUUUGACCUCCAGAAAUUACUCAGUUGUCUUAGGAACCAUGAGAUGAUUAUUACCAUAAUUACUGUUUAACAAUGCUGAGUCUUUUCUGAGAGCCCGGCUUGGCUCCCACCCCUCUGCUGUGUCCACUGAGCACUGCUAUUCAGUGCUGUUGAAGCUUUUGGGGCGCUGUGCGACGCUGGCUUUGCAGUAGCAUCACACCUGAAUGGAUGCCAUAUCCCAAGGCAUUCCCAUUGUGUGACCCUGAGCUCUGGCACUGCAUCAGCUCUGAUUUAUGGACAACUUUCCCCACAGAGUGCGGAGCUGCCGCCCCUGUGCAGACUGUGGACAAGCAUUAAGAUGAAGGAGGUCUGAUUUUUCUUUUUCCCCAGGAACAUUGCUGGCCAAUGUCUCGGUAAUAAAUGCUAUGGAUUGAGGAAUGCAGUCUUGUUAUUGCCUGGCUGAGGGGAAUUCAUUCUACACGUUGGCUUUCCCAGAGUUUUCCACCCGGCCGUCGCUGACUCCUCACCACGCACAGAUAUUUCUGUAUUUCAGCAAAAUUCCUCACUUCUAAUCUGGAUAGUCCUCUGGGUGGAGCGCAAAACCCACAUUGUUAACUCCGGAUAGCAGUAAUUAAAAGAAAAUAAAAUCAAAGGUGCUCAGCGAAGCAAUGGAACAUUUUUUUCCCGUGGAAGCCAAAAGAUUAUAUUAAACUUCGGUGGUUUAAUAAAAUAUUAUGAAGUUUGGGAGCAUAUUUUCCCUGGGACUUACUCUGUUUAUACAUCUAAAAAAGUAAAUAGAAUAUCGCUUUACUUGACCACACAGAGAACCUGAUCUAUGGGGGCUGUCUAUGUUUCUUGGUGCGUCGCUCCCACCUCAGGUUUCACACAGUGCUGGGUUUUGGGAAAGAAGGAAUUCCAUGAAUGGUGGCGAAGGGACGUGGCACUGAAUGGGGAACAGAGGGGCGAAAUGCAAAGACGUGGCUUUCCAAGGUGUUCUGCUGCCUAAAGACUGUAGUGAGACAUCAAGCAUUGCUAAGCGGAAGAUAGGAGGCUGUGGAAGUGAUGCCAAGAAGAACAAGAGCCAAAGCGGGGAUCUCCAACCAAGCAGUGCCAGCUCAGGUGGUCUUAUGGACUGACACCAGUGGGUAAUUCUGCAUUUGCCUUUUGCAGAGCUCCCUGCUCUUUCCAGGCUGCUGCCGCCAGCAAAAAGAGAGCACAGCCUCUCAGUACCCGUAAACUUUAUUAAAUGUGUGCUUUUUCAUUCUUAAAUUAAAUUAAAAUCAGUCUGCUCCAUACUGGAAUAGCACCGAAGGGAGAGAGAUGACAGCAUCACAGAGCAGAGGGGAGGAAGGAGAGAAAAUCCAGAAACCAUUAUAUACGAACAAGAAUCUUUUUAAUGGUUAAGAAAACGGGCAUUUUCCCCCCAAAUGUGGAGAUGUAACAUUGCAUAUGCUAGUGUGUGUGCAAGAGAACAAGGAGGCUAUGCAUCAGGGUUAGUCAAAAUGACUUAGUGCAGGCUGGGCAUCACCAAAUGCUCCAGAAAUUGGACUCUGUGGUGCUGCAGCCCAAAGCCCACUCUGAAUUCCACAUACAGGAGUUGCCUUCACUGAUCUUCAUAGCGUGUUGGCCUUUGUAUUCCUUCUAAGUGGGUGCAUUCUUGGCUGGCAGAGUUUUGUAGGAGCCAAGGACGUUCACUGCAUGCAGUCAGUGCUGCUCACUGCAGCACAGCUGCAGCCCCUCCUCACCCUCCCCCAGGUCCCAGCAGCAGAGGCCGGGUCUCACAGUGCCAAAUUGGGCUCACAAAGGAAAUCCCAACUGGUCUGAAAUUUUCAGGGUGCUUUGUAUAGUUUUCUUUUCAAACAGAUGGUCUGAGACUGCAAACAAUGCGUGGCAUACGAGCCCAAGCUUUACCAGUGCCUAAGGGCUCAUUGGAUUAUUGAGAUCAGAAAGAUCUUAAUGCUCCCAGAUUAGUUUCUCAUUGUUAAUGUAUUGGUUUCUUCCUAAUCUAUUGA